rnacentral:sRNA from 1 species
CAAAAGCGCACACAGCAAUUUUAUUGCUGCGUGAAUUUCUGUUUGCGUUGUGUAGACAAUGCCCGAUCUUUAACAAACUGAAGAAGCCGAAUUAAUUAGACGGCGAAAUGAAACACCUGCAGUUAACUCUGCAUGUGGGACAAAUCGUCAUCUUGGGAAUUUGAUUGUAUCUAAUGUCAUGUCGCCAUAUCAAAAGGGGCGGUGUGACAUGUCGCACAAACACAAUCCUGUCGGAUUGGUAACUCAGGUUACUGAAAUGAUAGGGUCAAGCGACUAAGUGCAUCUGGUGGAUGCCUUGGCGAUCACAGGCGAUGAAGGACGUGUAAGCCUGCGAAAAGCGCGGGGGAGCUGGCAAUAGAGCUUUGAUCCCGCGAUAUCCGAAUGGGGAAACCCACCCGCAAGGGUAUCCCAGACUGAAUACAUAGGUCUGUGGAAGCGAACCGAGUGAACUGAAACAUCUAAGUAACUCGAGGAAAAGAAAUCAACCGAGAUUCCGUCAGUAGUGGCGAGCGAACGCGGAAUAGCCUGUAUGUGAUAGAGAUUGAGAUAGUGGAAGGCAUUGGAAACUGCCGCCAUAGUGGGUGAUAGCCCCGUACACGAAAUUUCAUUCUUGGUACUGAGCAUACGAAAAGUAGGGCGGGACACGCGAAAUCCUGUUUGAAGAUGGGGGGACCAUCCUCCAAGGCU